UGGCCACUUAGUUGGGUCUCUUCACCAGACUCUCUGGGCCCCGUUAAUUCCAACCUCAGAAAUCGUGUUCCUGCUUAGAUACCCUCUACUUACUUCUCUCCCUACACCUAUUCCUCUACUCAACCCAGUCUUCAAGGUACCAUGGAUCUCAGGAGUGACAAGAUCUCUGGCCUGGAGGGACAGGUAUUUUCAGCUCUAAUGGUCCCCAAGCAGUGGAGACAGAGAUGGGACAGUGAGGACCUGAGGCCAAAAAUCCUAGCUCUGAGAGCUGUUGAGAUAGUGAAGAGAAACAACUUGGAAAGGCAGAGAUGACAGGCGACGUGAAGCCCUGGAUUGUAGGCUGCUGAAGGAUUGUUUCAGCACUGACUACUCCCCUUGGCAUCUAAUACUCAGCCAGUUCCAAUAGAACAAUGGUAACAUGGUGGUCAGUAGGGCCGUCCCUUCUGGGAACAUGGCAGGACUGCCCUUCCCUCUCCUUUGAAGCUAGGUGUGGCCAUGUGACUUGGUUUGGCCAAUGAAACGUGAGUGGAAGUGACAUGUACCCCUCCUGGGAAGAAGCUUUAAGAGGUA
rnacentral:lncRNA from 1 species